rnacentral:tRNA from 1 species
ACACGUGAGCAUAGUAUAAUAUUAAAACAUUAAGCUGUGGACUUAAAAAUAAAGAUAUAAUCUUUUGCACACC